rnacentral:rRNA from 1 species
UACGUAGGGCGCAAGCGUUGUCCGGAAUUAUUGGGCGUAAAGAGCUCGUAGGCGGUUUGUCGCGUCUGCUGUGAAAACCUGAGGCUCAACCUCGGGCUUGCAGUGGGUACGGGCAGACUAGAGUGCGGUAGGGGUGACUGGAAUUCCUGGUGUAGCGGUGGAAUGCGCAGAUAUCAGGAGGAACACCGAUGGCGAAGGCAGAUCACUGGGCCGCAACUGACGCUGAGGAGCGAAAGCAUGGGGGAGCGAACAGG